rnacentral:rRNA from 1 species
AUUGAACGCUGGCGGCAGGCCUAACACAUGCAAGUCGAGCGAGCGGCGGACGGGUGAGUAAUGUCUGGGAAACUGCCUGAUGGAGGGGGAUAACUACUGGAAACGGUAGCUAAUACCGCAUACCAUCAGACGUGCCCAGAGGGGAUGAGCUAGUAGGUGGGGUAACGGCUCACAUAGCCGACGAUCCCUAGCUGGUCUGAGAGUAUGACCAGCCACACUGGGACUGAGACACGUUCCAGACUCCUACGGGCGGCAGCAUUUGGGAAUAUUGCACAAUGGGCGCAAGCCUGAUGCAGCCAUGCCGCGUGUGUGAAGAAGGCCUUCGGGUUGUAAAGCACUUUCGGCGGGGAGGCGUUACCCGCAGAAGAAGCACCGGCUAACUCCGUGCCAGCAGCCGCGGUAAUAC